UUGACAGUUUGGCUUCCCUGUUCUGGGUGGCAAAGCCUGUGGAGUACUCACCUACCUGCUGCAUGAAGGCAGCAUGGAGGGACUGUGGUGGAUUAUCUGCAAAGAUGGCCAAAAUUCUCUCAUCCCUGCAGGCACAUACAAGAUGCCAGAAUCAGUCAAAACUAAGCUCACUGUCCUUGCUAAUAUUCUGCCCCAGAGAAGAACUGAAGCUCAGCUAUUCACCCUACAGAAAGCCUGAAUUUUGUAAAAGUUCUGCUUAGAAUGAGGAAGAAAGAUGAAGAAUGAGGAGGAAGAAGGGAGGAACAAGAGAGAGAGCCAGGUUUCCAGAAGUUCCCCAGUCAUUGAGCAUUUCUGAGGCUCUUGAUGCAUAUGCCAAGUAGUUAUGGAGAAAGACACAGCAGCUUACCUCUGCAGGCAUCAUUGUGUGAAAGGAAGACCCAGGCUCUCUCACCACCCUUCAACAGAAGCCUUUUGCUAAGGUGAUAGCUACAUGUCCAAGCCUAUUGCGUGGCAUGCAUUUUGCCUUCUGCAGCCCACUAAAGGUGAGCAGUAAAUGUGUUUGCUAUUUCCCCAAAAGGAAAUUGAGGUAUACGGAAUGCUUAUUUGGUUUACUCAGUAUCAUCCUAAAUGUAUGUACCAAUGCUUAGGAGUUUGCAGUUCACCCGCAAACCUCAGCGAUCCAAGCUCCCCUGGAUGACCAUCACUCACCAAGAAAAGAACAAUAACAGGACCUGUUUUGCUAAUCCAGGACUGUUCUCCAGCACUAACUCUAAAUAAUCCCUUCUGCUAGA
rnacentral:lncRNA from 1 species